UACGACUACAUAUCAGGCAUAUCAAUAAGCGGAGGAAAAGAAACUAACAAGGAUUCCCUUAGUAACGGCGAGUGAAGCGGGAAGAGCUCAAAUUUGAAAUCUUCAAGGUUUUACCUUGACGAAUUGUAGUUUAAAGAAGUGUUUUCUGUUGGAGUUUCGGUAAAAGUUCUUUGGAAUAGGACAUCAUAGAGGGUGAGAAUCCCGUAUUUGACCAUUAUUUUCAGCUGUGUGAUACACUUUCAAAGAGUCGGAUUGUUUGGGAAUGCAGUCCAAAAUGGGUGGUAAAUUUCAUCUAAAGCUAAAUAUUGGCGAGAGACCGAUAGCGAACAAGUACCGUGAGGGAAAGAUGAAAAGAACUUUGAAAAGAGAGUUAAACAGUACGUGAAAUUGUCAAAAGGGAAGCGUUUGACACCAGUGUUGUUUUCUCGAAAAUCAAUUAAAAAUGGCGUGAUUUUGUGUUGUAUUGACCUUAAAAGCUUUCUUCACUUUUUUCAUGUCUUUUUUAAUGCACUUUUCGUUUAACAAGUCAGCAUCAGUUUCUUUUGUUGUAAAAAGGUCAUUGGAAGGUGGCUUUCUUUUCGGAGAAAGUGUUUAUAGCCUUUGACUCCUGCAAUCGGAGAGACUGAGGUCUGCAGCGUAGAUCCUUCGGGGUUAGAUACAUUUGUGCUAAGUUAUAGCUUUUCAUAGACAACUUGUUGACUAUGUUUAGUCUUGUAGCUUACUCGCUUAUGCUAUUUUACCUACGCUUAGGAUGUUGAACGCGCACAGAGUCUC
rnacentral:rRNA from 1 species